AGUGAACGCUGGCGGUAGGCCUAACACAUGCAAGUCGAACGGCAGCACAGUAAGAGCUUGCUCUUACGGGUGGCGAGUGGCGGACGGGUGAGGAAUACAUCGGAAUCUACUUUUUCGUGGGGGAUAACGUAGGGAAACUUACGCUAAUACCGCAUACGACCUACGGGUGAAAGCAGUGGAUCUUCUGACCUUGCGCGAUUGAAUGAGCCGAUGUCGGAUUAGCUAGUUGGCGGGGUAAAGGCCCACCAAGGCGACGAUCCGUAGCUGGUCUGAGAGGAUGAUCAGCCACACUGGAACUGAGACACGGUCCAGGCACCUAGGGGAGGCAGCGGUGGGGAAUAGUGGAAACAGGGGGCAAGCCUGAUCCAGCCAUACCGCGUGGGUGAAGAAGGCCUUCGGGUUGUAAAGCCCUUUUGUUGGGAAAGAAAAGCAGCAGGUUAAUACCCCGCUGUUCGGACGGUACCCAAAGAAUAAGCACCGGCUAACUUCGU
rnacentral:rRNA from 1 species